CGGGGUGCACCAGGCGCGAAAACUCUACAAUGCAGGCAACUGCGAUAGGGGAACAUCGAGUGGUCCUCAUAUUGGGGGCCUGUCCUCCCGCGUAAAAAGCGGGAGUUAGCAAGGGCCGGGCAAGACCGGUGCCAGCCGCCGCGGUAAUACCGGCGGCUCGAGUGGUGGUCGAUAUUAUUGGGUCUAAAGGGUCCGUAGCCGGCUUUGCAAGUCUUUCGGGAAAUCCAGCGGCUUAACCGUUGGUCGUCCGGGGGGUACUACCUUGCUUGGGACUGGGAGAGGUAGGAGGUACUCCGGGGGUAGGAGUGAAAUCCUGUAAUCCUUUGGGGACCACCGGUGGCGAAGGCGUCCUACCAGAACAGGUCCGACGGUGAGGGACGAAAGCUAGGGGCACGAACCGGAUUAGAUACCCGGGUAGUCCUAGCCGUAAACGAUGCUCGCUAGGUGUCACAACAGUCGUGAACUGUUGUGGUGCCGUAGGGAAGCCGUGAAGCGAGCCACUUGGGAAGUACGACCGCAAGGUUGAAACUUAAAGGAAUUGGCGGGGGAGCAC
rnacentral:rRNA from 1 species